rnacentral:lncRNA from 1 species
UAUUAUUACAUGAAUGGAAUGGUUUAAAAGUCUUACAGCUGAUAUAGACAUGGUUAUUACCCCGAAUAUCACUUCAUUUGUUGAAGUUGAUAUUACGAUCGAUUGAACAUGGAUAUCAUCACUAGAUGAUAUAUGAUUGAUAUGAAAUUCUCCCUCCAUGUUGAGGUUGUAGAUUGCUCCCUCUUCUGUUGAAAUCAUAUCACAGAUUGAGGUUGUAGAUAGCAGGUCUAGAUGUGCACAUUAGACACUGAUGGCCCUCGGAAUUGAUUCUAUAAAAGCUGUAAAGACUACAUUAUGAAUUUAUGAUUU